GAUGAACGCUGGCGGCGUGCUUAACACAUGCAAGUUGAACGAAGAAGCGAGAGUGCUUGCACUUUCUGCUUACUGAGUGGCGGACGGGUGAGUAACGCGUGGGUAACCUGCCUCACACAGGGGGAUAACAGUCGGAAACGACUGCUAAUACCGCAUAAGCGCACAGUGCCGCAUGACACAGUGUGAAAAACUCCGGUGGUGCGAGAUGGACCCGCGUCUGAUUAGCUAGUUGGCGAGGUAACGGCCCACCAAGGCAACGAUCAGUAGCCGGCCUGAGAGGGUGAACGGCCACAUUGGGACUGAGACACGGCCCAAACUCC
rnacentral:rRNA from 1 species